rnacentral:rRNA from 1 species
UACGGGGGGGGCAAGCGUUGUUCGGAAUUACUGGGCGUAAAGGGCUCGUAGGCGGCCCUCUCAGUCGGAUGUGAAAUCCCCAGGCUUAACCUGGGAACGGCAUCCGAUACUGGAGGGCUUGAAUUCGGGAGAGGGAUGCAGAAUUCCAGGUGUAGCGGUGAAAUGCGUAGAUAUCAGGAAGAACACCCGUGGCUAAGGCGGCUCUCUAGUACGGUACUGACGCUGAGACGCGAAAGCGUGGGGAGCGAACAGG